rnacentral:rRNA from 1 species
AUGAACGCUGGCGGCGUGCCUAAUACAUGCAAGUCGAGCGAACAGACGAGGAGCUUGCUCCUCUGACGUUAGCGGCGGACGGGUGAGUAACACGUGGAUAACCUACCUAUAAGACUGGGAUAACUUCGGGAAACCGGAGCUAAUACCGGAUAAUAUAUUGAACCGCAUGGUUCAAUAGUGAAAGACGGUUUUGCUGUCACUUAUAGAUGGAUCCGCGCCGCAUUAGCUAGUUGGUAAGGUAACGGCUUACCAAGGCGACGAUGCGUAGCCGACCUGAGAGGGUGAUCGGCCACACUGGAACUGAGACACGGUCCAGACUCCUACGGGAGGCAGCAGUAGGCAAUCUUCCGCAAUGGGCGAAAGCCUGACGGAGCAACGCCGCGUGAGUGAUGAAGGUCUUCGGAUCGUAAAACUCUGUUAUUAGGGAAGAACAAAUGUGUAAGUAACUAUGCACGUCUUGACGGUACCUAAUCAGAAAGCCACGGCUAACUACGUG